GGAUGGGCUAAGUGGUUAGAGCACCUGCCUUGAAUGCAGAAGGGCUUGGGUUCAACCCCUGGUAUCUCCA